rnacentral:rRNA from 1 species
GACAGAGGAUGCAAGCGUUAUCCGGAAUGAUUGGGCGUAAAGCGUCUGUAGGUGGCUUUUUAAGUCCGCCGUCAAAUCCCAGGGCUCAACCCUGGACAGGCGGUGGAAACUACCAAGCUGGAGUACGGUAGGGGCAGAGGGAAUUUCCGGUGGAGCGGUGAAAUGCGUAGAUAUCGGGAAGAACACCAAAGGCGAAAGCGCUCUGCUGGGCCGAAACUGACACUGAGAGACGAAAGCUAGGGGAGCGAAUGGG